rnacentral:lncRNA from 1 species
AAUUAAGCCUAAUUAAGUUAAAUUUAAAUUAGUCUAAUUGGACUUAACUUAUUUGGUUCAAUUAGGUUGGUUUAAAUAUUGAAACCACCUUGACCCAAUCUCCAUGCGCCAUCUCACUUCCAUUGCAUCCAUUUGAAUUCAUGAAAAGGAACUUCUCAUGAAUUUUUUUCUCACACCAAGCCCUCUCCACACCCCACUUUAAUGUGCUAUUUGAAUGGAUAAGAAUGAUUGGUUGGCCAUUCAAAUUCAAAAUAAAGUUUGAAUUUGAAUGGGCAAUCAAUCUUUGCACCUUAUCCCUUUUUUAACGCCCCAUUUAUUACAUGAGAAAAAUAUUUCUCAUGAAAUCACUCCAUGCAUAAUUUUAGCCAUGUCUCAUGCCUUUAGUGGAUAAGGGAUGAGUUGGUGUCCAUUUGAAUUCAAAAUUUGAUUUGAAUUCAAAUGUGUAAUUACUCAUCUUUAUCUUUUCUUUUGGAUAAGACGUUUGAGGUUGUUAUAAAAGGAGGAGAAGAGUGGGGCAUGUAAGAUGAAUAUUUUUUGAAGAAAAUUUUUGGGGCGUGAGGAAGUCUUGUGCGUGAGAAGGAAGUCCAUAUCCUUCCAAGAGAAAAAGAAAGAAAAGAAAGAAAAGUAGGGUGCAAGGUUUCCAGUGAGUUCCCUAGAGUUUUAGCCUGGGGUUCGGGAAGUGAGAAAGUGAGCUACGAGUGUCGUGAGCCCACAAAAUUUUAGGA